GGGGAGGGACUGCCGGCCUUGGGGCCUCGCAAGCCGAGCUCUGCCUCCAGAGAGGAGGAGGAGGAGGAGGAAGAGGAGGAGGAGGAGGAUGGGUCCGUCCCCCCAGCGCUUGCCAGGCUCCGUGUCCCGCUCAGCACCGGCACCAUCAUCCUCAUCCUCAGCGCAUGGGAAUGAAGGAGCAGAAUCUGGGCUGCCAGGUCAGCAAAGGGGGAUUUAAUCUCUGGGGCAGAUGAAGAAGCUCCGAAGAUUUUGAAGAAGCUCUGAAGAUUUUGAAGAAGCUCUGAAGAUAUUGAAGAAGCUCUGAAGACAUUGAAGAAGCUCUGAAGACAUUGAAGAGGCUCUGAAGAGACUGAAGCAGCUCUGAAGAGAUUCCUCUUUGCUGUCGACAGUCCCGGGGAGGAUUCUCCAGCAUGCCAGGCGCAGGAGAGGGGAAGGAGGAUGAGGAGCUGGAGGCUCCCGAGGCUCCGUCAGCCAGGAAGAGCCGAGGCUCAGGAGCAGCAGGAGCAGGGUGGGCGUGGGGAGUGGUGUUUCACUUCUUCCUGG
rnacentral:lncRNA from 14 species